CUUCUAUAAAGCUUUGGUGCCCAGUGGGGGGCAUUGCCUGACUUGACGGUGUUGAUACUGCCCACUUCCUUCGACUCUCCUAGCAGCAUGAUAACUCGGAUUGAAGGCAGCGUGUACAUCGCUUCGUAGCAGGACAGUUUCUCCUCCAGUGUGACACCGGUAUGGUUUGCCUUUCCCCUCUUGCGUGUGAUUGAGGGCGCUGCCUGAGUGAUGGUGUCUGGAUGAUUUACCGGCUGCAAGAACGCGACGGGGACUUUGUAGGACCACUGCUGCUCUGUUGGAUCUGUUUUAUAUUUUGGUUUUAUGUUUCUUUUCAUUAAUUGUGUUUUGUGUUAAGUGGUUGUUCUGUAUUUAAUGUAUAAUUUUAAAUCGUUGGUGUUAUUUUGCUUAAUUCUUUUGUUUUGUCUGACCGGCUGUUGUGUCUUGAACUGAAUAAUUGGCCACAACCUCGAAUUACCUCCAGCAACAUUUACUGUGAACAAAGACAUGCAUACACCAAGUUGUCCGGCUCGGCCACUGGCUCCUUGCUAAGUACCAAAAUCUCCCUCUCCUUCUGUGUCACUGCCGGCCCACUGUCUAACCCAUACUCUAUGCUGCCCACAUAUUCCACAUUGUACCUGGUACAGAGCUCCCAUUUUGUGUCCUUGGGACGAAGUGUUCAUUUGCUGUGUUUUUAGAGCUUGUGUAAUAAACAUUUUAAGUGAUAUCACGUCUCCUGCCUGGGCAUAGACCGAACCUGGGUGCCUUAUGGUAUUAGAGGAGGAUUCGUUAUUUCCUUGGGUGAAAUUCCCGGGGUGGCGUAGUCUGUAGGUUUGGCACAGUGAGGUGACAAGUCCCUUUCACAUGUACCCAGUUACAGG